CCUACGGGAUGCUGCAGUGAGGAAUAUUGGUCAAUGGACGAGAUUCUGAACCAGCCAAGUAGCGUGAAGGAUGACUGCCCUAUGGUUUGUCCACUUCUUUUAUCUGGGAAUAAAACAGGGUAUGCAUACACUCUUGUCUGUACCAUAUGAAUCAGGAUCGGCUAACUCCGUGCCAGCAGCCGCGGUAAUACGGAGGAUCCGAGCGUUAUCCGGAUUUAUUGGGUUUAAACGGAGAUGAGGUGGAUUGUUAAGUCAGUUGUGAAAUGUUGCGGCUCAACCGUAAAAGUGCAGGUGAAACUGGCAGUCUUGAGUACAGUAGAGGUGGGCGGAAGGAGGGGUGUAGGGGUGAAAUGCUUAGAUAUCACGAAGAACUCCGAUGGCGAAGGCAGCUCACUGGACUGCAACUGACACUGAUGCUCGAAAGUGUGGGGAUCAAACAGGAUUAGAUACCCUUGUAGUC
rnacentral:rRNA from 1 species